GGGGGGGGGGGGCGGACCCGUUGCAGACGGUGUGGAUGGACGACACGUGGACCUGGAGGGAUCGAACCGCUGCGAGGCGAACGUGACUAGGGUUUCAGGAUCUCCGGGUAUAAAACAAAGGGCGCCCCCUCCUUUGCCCACUUUCGAUCUCGAGGAUAGUCUUGCGCAUUUCUGGAGUGUCUCGUGCGGCGCUCGCGCUAGGGUUAGCCAGAACUUCUCCUGGUGGGAAGGGAAAAUCGGGGGGGGGGGGGAUCCCCGCUCUUAUGCGCAAGUAACUGUUGCUCCUCCUCCUCCUCUUGUUCAUCCUCUACCCACCCAGAAAUCUAAGAUGAGAGGGGACGGUUUUGGUGCGGGGCGCCAUGGUCGUGGUGCGGGGAGGUUCAAUCGAGGAGCCGGACGGGGUUUCGACUCCAACGUGUGGUAGCGCAAAUCAGAGACAGGGGCUUCUUCGACCAGAGCCUCUGGAUCUGAUGCGUCUGGAUUUGACAAGUGGGAUGCUGCGGCAGGAGGAGAAAAAGAAGAUCGCGACCACGAGGAGUCGUGGAAGGAAGGGGGUGAAGGAAGAUCUUCGCCCCAUCAUGAUGGCAAGGCUACUGCAGACAGGCAGGCCGCCCCUCCUCACCAGGAGAAGUGGGGAGGGGGGGAUCUGAUGCUGGGGAAGGAAUGCCCCUGUGAGAGAUCGGGAUCUUCCUGCUAAGCCUGGUAACAUCAUCCCUUUUGCUUCUCCUUGCCAGAUCUGUCAUGCGAUGGGACAUACUACUGCUAGAUGUCCUCAGGCCAUAUGCGAUAGAUGUAAGAAAAAAGGUCAUCUGUCUCUGAUAUGUGCAGAGUUCAUUCCUUGGGAAUGUAUGCCUGUGAUGUGUGCUUUCCAAGCUAAGGGGCAAGGUUUCUUUUACAUCCUUGAUCUUAAUGUUGAGAGACAGUCUAGGGAUAGAAAUCACAACAUCAUUGUUACUAUCACUGAAGGGUCUGCACUCACAAAAGAUAUUGAGGCUGAGCUGAGUGUGUAUGUAGGCCAGGGAUGGAGAUGCUCUGCUAAAUUCUUUGCUCCUCAGAGAUUUGUUAUGAGAAUGCCUAAUCCUAGGGAAAUAGAACAUGCUUUGUUUGUAGAGCAUGUGAAGCUUAAAAAAUGUGGGGUUAGUGUAAAAUUCUCACCUUGGUCUGAUUAUUUGGAAUCCGAGGGGUUACUGGAAGUGGCUUGGGCUAGGAUUGGUAGGAUCCCAAUUAACAAAAGAUGCAACAAGACUGUUACUUAUGUUGGAGGGCUUGUGGGAAUUACCUUAGAGGUGGAUAUGUCAACCCUCAAUCGACCUGCGUCGGUUAGAACUAAGAUUGGCUGCAGGCAUGUUGAUCAAAUCCCAACUUCUGCUGAGGGGGUAUUGGGGAGUCGUUUUUACAAGUUUACUUAUGAGGUGGAAGAAGUGUUGAUUAAAAACACUGUCACGGAGGAAACCGCGGUGCCUGUUGCACGCGAUGAUGCCUCUAAACAGAACCUGACACCUAAGCGUAAACAUGAACAUCGUGAUAAUGAGAAAGAUGAUAGUUAUUCUGAAUCCUCGGGGGCUAAUAGAUUUGGCCAGUCAUAUAGGGGGGAGGGGGUAAAAACUGUCGUUUGCCCUCCCCGGAGAAGGAAGUGUCAGGAUCUGAGGAGAGCGAGGAAGAUAAUGAGCUGCUAAUUGAGUCAAUGCAGUUGGAUCAUGAGAAGUACUUAAAAGACUCAUCUAAGUGGAUUGUGCCUGUUCAACUGGAUAGAGGAAACAAUACCCCGGAGACACAUAAUGAUCUGAAGGAUGUCUAGGUGACUUUUAGUUCUGUUGUCCGAAAAUCCCUGUCAUAUGCAGAUGUUGUAACUAAUAAUUGGCAGGUGUCGGAGCUGGAAGGGGAGGCUGAUCCUAACAUGAAAAUCUCGUGUGAUUAUGUGGUACUGUCACCUAAAACUGAUCACAAUGUGGAUGUGAUUCCUACUCCUCCCAUUGCUUUUGAAGCUGCCACCAGGUUCAGUAAGAGAAAUACAUGUGGGAUGCAGGAGAAGGUGGAGGACAGAGCGAGGAGGUUGGCUAGUAAGAGAGAUCUGGAAGGAUUGCAGCAGGAGGGCGACGCAGGAGAGCUACGUUCUGGUGCGGAGUUGGUAAGGACUAAUACCAUGCAGUUGAUGAAGCUCUGCGAGACAGCGAGGCAGGGGAUCACAGGAGGAUGAACACGUUGUCCUUUGAUGAUCUCUAGGGGAUAUCCUGCUAGUUGUUAGCUCGUAUAUUUGGUCAAGUUCUAUGCAUACGGUUUUGCUGUAUUAGAGACUACUUUUCCCUGCUCUGCUUUGAUUAGUGGCUUUCAGGCUAUGGCAGUCGGUUCGAUGGCGAGCGGCUGUUCCAUAGAUGAAAGUUGGUAGUCUGCGAGAGCAUGUUGUCGUACCCAGUACUUUUCUCUGUUUUUCUGUUGGCAAAA